rnacentral:tRNA from 1 species
UUUAAUAUGGCAGAAAACUAGUGCAUUGAAUUUAAACCUCAAAAAUAAAGAUUUAAUCUUUUAUUAAAA